rnacentral:rRNA from 1 species
UAUCUCUGUAGAGUCUGCAUAUCAAUAAGCGGAGGAAAAGAAACUAACAAGGAUUCCCUUAGUAACGGCGAGUGAAGCGGGAAGAGCUCAAAUUUGAAAUCUUCAAGGUUCUACCUUGACGAAUUGUAGUUUAAAGAAGUGUUUUCUGUUAGAAGUUCGGUACAAAGUUCCUUGGAAUAGGACAUCAUAGAGGGUGAGAAUCCCGUAUUUGACGUUAUUCCUCUAGGCUGUGUGAUACACUUUCAAAGAGUCGGAUUGUUUGGGAAUGCAGUCCAAAAUGGGUGGUAAAUUUCAUCUAAAGCUAAAUAUUGGCGAGAGACCGAUAGCGAACAAGUACCGUGAGGGAAAGAUGAAAAGAACUUUGAAAAGAGAGUUAAACAGUACGUGAAAUUGUCAAAAGGGAAGCGUUUGACACCAGUGUUGUUUUUCCGAAAAUCAAUUACGAAUGGCUUGAUUUUGUGUUGUAUUGACCUUAUCAGCUUUCUGCACUUUUUUCGAGUCUUUCUUAAUGCACUUUUCGGUUAACAAGUCAACAUCAAUUUCUUUUGUUGUAAAAGAGUAUUCGGAAGGUGGCUUUCUUUUCGGAGAAAGUGUUUAUGGCCCUAUACUUCUACAAUCGGAGAGAUUGAGGUCUGCAGCGUAGAUCCUUCGGGGCUAGAUACACUUGUGCUAAGUUGUAGCUUUUCAUAGACAACUUGUUGACUAUGUUUAGUCAUGCGGCUUACUCGCUUGUGCUAUUUUACCUACGCUUAGGAUGUUGACUGAUAUGUAGUCGUA